AGUUGGGACAAAACUAUAGAGCCCAGCGGCAGUCCUUGAAUGACCAGGCCAGUGUUGCCCCUGGUGUCACUGAGUGGUCCCCUGCUGGUUUGUUGGGAGUGAAGGGAAUCCAGGCUGGCAGAGCUGGAGCCAGUUGGGGAGCAGGGUUCUGGGAGCUCUGCAACAUCAGUAGCAAGUGCUGGGAAAGGCGCAUGCUGGAGACACUCAGAGCUCUGAAGACUUGCUUGAGGCUAGCCCAGUGAAGAAAAACCCAGAGAUUCAUGUUUCAGAGCUCCCAAGACUUGCUUGAGGCUAGCCCAGUGAAGAAAAACCCAGAGACUCAUGUUUCCAGAGGUCAGUCUGUCAGGCAGGAAGGACCCAGGGUUUGAACCCAGCUUCAGUCUGCAGGCUCUGAGGCUGCCCAGGCCGGGAAAGUCCAAGGAAGGGGCCUGGUGGUGCUCCACUUCCAGUUCUUUAAAGAAUGCUGCUUUUUAUUCUCUUAACCCCUUCAAGUGUGUGCAGACUUCUCAUUAGCAGCUGGAAGACAUUCCUCCCACACUUUACCCUUCCUGGCCCAAGAGAGCAUCCAGAAGGCAGUAGGACCUGGUUUUUCAGGUAUGUUCUGGUUGUCACAGAGUUUCAUUGAGCCCAGCUGCAGCCACGUGGCCAUCUGGAGCUGGUGCUGUAGGUGACCAUCUGGUACAUUGAGGGGACCGGUUUGCCUCCUCCACUCUAUAAGCUGUCAUCUUGGGAGACAGGGAAGAGAAGGUGGUGGGCCAGUCCUGUGUCCUCCUCCACUUCCCAUGCCCCUACGUUACCCAUCUGUGUCUCCUCUGCAAAAGGAGAGGAAGAGGCAUUAAGGGAUGAAGGGUGAUUAUGUAUUACUUAUCCAUUUCUGAAUAAACAUUUGUUAUUCCAAAAAAAAAGA
rnacentral:lncRNA from 1 species